AACCUUUUUCGUUGGGGUGGUGGAGGUGGCCCUUUGGUAAUUUAGUGGGGAACAUCACUUGAGGGGGGGGGCGUGCUUGGGGUAUUGGCCCCACCUUUCCGGUCCUUUCGUACUGGGGAAGGUUGGUCAUAGAUAGAAACCGACCUGGAUUGCUCCGGUCUGAACUCAGAUCACGUAGGACUGUUAAUCGUUGAACAAACGAACCCUUAGUAGCGGCUGCACCACUAGGAUGUCCUGAUCCAACAUCGAGGUCGUAAACCUCCUCGUCGAUAGGGGCUCUUGGGGGAGAUUGCGCUGUUAUCCCUGGGGUAGCUUGGUCCAUUGGUCAGAUUUACUGGGUCUGGGUACUGUUAGUACGUUGAGAGGUUGCUCUUGGUUAGGGGGUUUGGCCCUGUUUUUGGAGGGUCUGUUUUUCUCCAAGGUCGCCCCAACCUAAAAAUGUUAGCCAGUGUUUUAGGUGGUGAGCCCGGGUGGGUUGGUAAGUUGGGCGGGGUGGCUAUUGAUUUUGAAGUUCCACAGGGUCUUCUCGUCUUAUGUGUUUAUCUCUGCUUUUGUACAGAGAGAUCAGUUUCACCGAUCAUCUACAGGAGACAGUUAAGACCUCGUUUAGCCAUUCAUACAGGUCUCGAUUUAUGGGACAAUUGAUUGCGCUACCUUUGCACGGUUAGGAUACCGCGGCCGUUAAACAUAGUGUCACUGGGCAGGCAUCACCUUCAAUACUUGUUUGGCUGAAGGCUAUGUUUUUGGUAAACAGUCGGGUCUUAAGUUUGCCGAGUUCCUUUUGUAGAUUAUGAUCACUCCAGUGUGCGCCCCUGAGUUGGAUUGACAGGGUGUGUUCAAUGGUGGGGGUGUGGUUAUUAUUGAGGCUUUACUGUUAAUGGUGUGGUAGGCUGGCGCUUGGGGGGACGUGGUGUCCUGGUUACUCGUUCUAGCAUUAGUUCAUCUAUUGUUAUAGGUUGGCCUGCUGUGGGUGUAGGGAGUCGCAUUGGUUUUGAGGGUUUUUAGUUGAUGGAGCUUUGACGCAAUCUUUGGGGGUGGCUGCUUUAAGGCCCACGGAGUUGGGUGUGCGAGGGUUAUCCGCUGAUAGAGGUUGUAUCCUUUUUUAAAGGGGCUGUACCCCCUUUAAAUAGCCCUUAACCAUCACAUUUGAGUUAGGUUUGUCUGGGGGGAAAGAAAAGAAGGGUUAAGGUGGAACUUAGAUUCGUCUUGCAGGCAACCAGCUAUCACCCAGCUCGGUUGGCUUUUCACCGCUACUAACAAGUCAUCCCACUCUUUUGCAACAGAGACGGGUUAGCUCGUGACAGCUGCUUGUGAGUAGCUCGCUUGGGUUUCGGGGUGGCAGGCUUAAGCUCGCUUUGUCUGGUUGUUCUUGCUAGAUCAUGAUGCAAAAGGUACAAGGGGUUAUCUUUGCUAUAUUGUGCUUGGCUUUCAUUGUUAUUUCAUCUUUCCCUUACGGUACUGUUAUCUAUGGCGUCCGAGUUGUACUUUUCUAUCGCUUAUACUAAGUUUGGGGUAAUGUUUUAGUUGGGCGGGGUGGUGGGUUUUUGAUUAUGGUUGGCGGAGCUAGGGUGGGCCU
rnacentral:rRNA from 1 species